AUUUGUGGUAAACCAGCAGGAGGCGGGCCCCGGACUCCUGCCAGUGCCGGACAUCAGUCACUCAUGGAGACCCAGCAUCAGGUUCUGGUCCUUCAGGUGAUCCUGGUGUCUCAGAGCAGCUCAGAACUCCAACUCCUCCUUUUCCUGUAGGUCUGUGCUGACAGCUCAGAGCGGAUCCUGGAGGUUCACGCUGGGUUUCUGCACGUAUGAAUGUCCGUCUCAAUGCGAGCCUUCAUGUACUCAGAGAUGGAGGAACUCCUGCAGCUCUGAAAGGCUGCACUGUUCUCCGCCGGCUUCAGGUCGGCGAGGAAACAUCAGAGCACGGAAAGAGACGAGGAUUCUUGAACGGAAGCUGAGGAGGACUUUAUGAGUCAUUCAAAAUGUCCUAAUGAAAUGUUGGUUCCAGCUCUCCUCUCCUGAGUAUGACCAGUUGAAGCUGGAACGCCUCAGAUGUUACAGACCGUGAUCCAACACGCCGUCAGCAGCAUCCUGGGGGGGCGUGGCCUUUUUCUGUGGAUCGACGACAUUUACAGGAAGUGACGUCUCGGCGAGAAAAACAGUCAUAAAGGACUUCUGACCACCGACACCCUCCUGACACCUGGGAGGCGGAGCCUCCACCGCGGGACAGUUCAGGAUCAGUUUUUAAUCCUUUUUUUCUUCUGGUUGACUGCUGGUUACCACAGGAAGCUCUGGGUGCAGAUGAGGAGGAACUGAGAUCCCUGAAGACUUUGAUCUGAUGGAGAGUUUCCUUUCUGACCAAACCUGCAGAAAAACCACGUCUGAUUGACCAAAGUCCUGCAGGAAUCCUUCACAGUUUCACCUGUUGCAGGUUGAUCAUCUGGAAAUGGAUCAUUCCACCAGAUUCACGAACCGGUCCAUGUUCAUGACCCGAAUGAAUACGUCAGGUUCUGGACAGCAGCAGACUCUCAAUUACCCAGAAUCCAUAGCAGCAUAAAGACGUUACUCCCACAGAACCUGCUGAACAAACGAGUCCUGUGGGAACAUCCGUGUUCCUAAAUCAGGAGAAAAAGAUCAAAGGAAACCAGAGAUGACCUCAGAUGACCUCCACCCGCCCUAGAUCAGCUGAUUUCUCUCUAAGUGGACCUUGAUGUUGUUCAGCCUCUCAAACGUCUUUCAGAUCUUUGGUGAUCAUUGUGACGCUGAAUGUUGCUCAUAACCGCAGCUGGAACAUGUUUACAUGCUAGUAAAGUUUGAGUCUGAACUUUAUCUCCAACAUUAGAGUUCAACCUUCUGUUA